AGAGAGAGACAUGCGUGCAUAUCAAUAAGCGGAGGAAAAGAAACUAACAAGGAUUCCCCUAGUAACGGCGAGUGAAGCGGGAAGAGCUCAAAUUUGAAAUCUUAAAGGGUUUCCCUUUACGAAUUGUAGUUUAAAGAAGUGUUUUCUGUUGAGGUUUUGGUAAAAGUUCUUUGGAAUAGGACAUCAUAGAGGGUGAGAAUCCCGUAUUUGACCCUUACUUUCAACUUUGUGAUACACUUUCAAAGAGUCGGAUUGUUUGGGAAUGCAGUCCAAAAUGGGUGGUAAAUUUCAUCUAAAGCUAAAUAUUGGCGAGAGACCGAUAGCGAACAAGUACCGUGAGGGAACGAUGAAAAGAACUUUGAAAAGAGAGUUAAACAGUACGUGAAAUUGUCAAAAGGGAAGCGUUUGACACCAGUGUUGUUUUUCUGAAAAUCAAUUAAAGAACUGUUUAUGCUAAGCUGUUUAGACUUUAUCAGCUAUCUGUUUAGUUUUGAGCUUUUCUUUAAUGCACUUUUCAGUUAACAAGUCAACAUCAAUUUCUUUUGCUGUAAAAAAGCUUGAGGAAGGUGGCUUGAGAUUCGUCUUAAGUGUUUAUAGCCUCUUGCCUAUGCAGUCGGAGAGAUUGAGGUCUGCAGCGUAGAUCCUUCGGGGCUAAAUGCAUUUGUGCUAAGUUAUAGCAUUUUAUAGACAACUUGUUGACUAUGAUUUGUCUUGUAGCUUACUCGCUUAUGUUAUUUUACCUACGCUUAGGAUGUUGACGCAUGAGAUAUACGC
rnacentral:rRNA from 1 species